rnacentral:rRNA from 1 species
GACGAACGCUGGCGGCGUGCCUAAUACAUGCAAGUGGGACGCAAGGGAACACACUGUGCUUGCACACCGUGUUUUCUUGAGUCGCGAACGGGUGAGUAACGCGUAGGUAACCUGCCUAUUAGCGGGGGAUAACUAUUGGAAACGAUAGCUAAUACCGCAUAAUAUUAAUUAUUGCAUGAUAAUUGAUUGAAAGAUGCAAGCGCAUCACUAGUAGAUGGACCUGCGUUGUAUUAGCUAGUUGGUAAGGUAAGAGCUUACCAAGGCGACGAUACAUAGCCGACCUGAGAGGGUGAUCGGCCACACUGGGACUGAGACACGGCCCAGACUCCUACGGGAGGCAGCAGUAGGGAAUCUUCGGCAAUGGACGAAAGUCUGACCGAGCAACGCCGCGUGAGUGAAGAAGGUUUUCGGAUCGUAAAGCUCUGUUGUAAGUCAAGAACGUGUGUGAGAGUGGAAAGUUCACACAGGACGUAGCUACCAGAAAGGGA